GUGAGAAGUUCGGCUUGCUCGACUGAAGCCCGGACGUCCAGGAUGCGAGUGCCCAGUGGGCCACUUUUGGUAAGCAGAACUGGCGCUGUGGGAUGAACCAAACGCUGGGUUAAGGCGCCCGAUGCCAGACGCUCAUCAGAUCCCAUGAAAGGUGUUGGUUGCUAUAGACAGCAGGACGGUGGCCAUGGAAGUCGGAAUCCGCUAAGGAGUGUGUAACAACUCACCUGCCGAAGCAACUAGCCCUGAAAAUGGAUGGCGCUGUAGCGUCGAGCCCAUACCCGGCCGCCCCGGCUGGGCACGGAAGCUUAGGCCGGGGUGAGUAGGAGGUGUCGCAGCGGCGUGCGUUGAAGGUGCCGGGCGUGGGCCCGCCUGGAGCCGCCGCUGGUGCAGAUCUUGGUGGUAGUAGCAAAUACUCAAGUGAGAACCUUGAGGACUGAGGUGGAGAAGGGUUCCAUGUGAACAGCAGUUGAACAUGGGUCAGUCGGUCCUAAGGGAUAGGAGAAAUCCGUUCCGAAGCGGGACCUGCGUGCACCGUGAGGUCCCGUGGUCGACCGAAAGGGAAUCGGGUUAAUAUUCCCGAACUCGGACGCGGAGAUCGGCCCCUCGGGGUCAACUGCGGUAACGCAACCAAACUCGGAGACGUCGAUCGGGGUCCCGGGAAGAGUUGUCUUUUCUUUGUAAGGGAUCGGCUCCCUGGAAUCGGCUCGCCCGGAGAUAGGGAUGCUGUUCCCGUAAAGCACCGCGGCUCUUGCGGUGUCCGGAGCGCUCCGGUCGGCCCUUGAAAAUCCAGGGAGAGUGUGAUUUUCGUGCCGGACCGUACCCAUAUCCGCAGCAGGUCUCAAGGGUGAACAGCUCCUAGUCGAUGGAACA
rnacentral:rRNA from 1 species